GCGGCUGUAGCUCAGUAGGUUAGAGCGCUGGCUUGUGGCGCCAGAGGUCGAUGGUUCAACUCCUUCCAGCCGUACCA
rnacentral:tRNA from 1 species